CAAACUAGUACAUAUACUAUUUAUUAUUAGGAAAAUAGUCGGUGGACCCUACAAUGUGAGAUAGAGAAUGGUGUGAGAUAGGGAAAAGAAAGGAAAAAAAAUUGACAAAGAAGGGUAAUUUUUAUCUAUUUGGUUUUUUGUUUUUUGUUUUUGUUUUUUUAUCAUUUUAUUUCUUUGAAUGUGUUUAUCCCAUGAAUCUAAUAACUUACAUACU
rnacentral:lncRNA from 1 species